rnacentral:rRNA from 1 species
GACGAACGCUGGCGGCGUGCUUAACACAUGCAAGUCGAACGGAAAGGCCCUGCUUUUGUGGGGUGCUCGAGUGGCGAACGGGUGAGUAACACGUGAGUAACCUGCCCUUGACUUUGGGAUAACUUCAGGAAACUGGGGCUAAUACCGGAUAGGAGCUCCUGCUGCAUGGUGGGGGUUGGAAAGUUUCGGCGGUUGGGGAUGGACUCGCGGCUUAUCAGCUUGUUGGUGGGGUAGGGGCUUACCAAGGCUUUGACGGGUAGCCGGCCUGAGAGGGUGACCGGCCACAUUGGGACUGAGAUAAGGCCCAGACUCCUACGGGAGGCAGCAGUGGGGAAUAUUGCACAAUGGGCGGAAGCCUGAUGCAGCAACGCCGCGUGCGGGAUGACGGCCUUCGGGUUGUAAACCGCUUUCGCCUGUGACGAAGCGUGAGUGACGGUAAUGGGUAAAGAAGCACCGGCUAACUACGUG